rnacentral:rRNA from 1 species
GAUGAACGCUGGCGGCGUGCUUAACACAUGCAAGUCGAACGAUGAAGCCCAGCUUGCUGGGUGGAUUAGUGGCGAACGGGUGAGUAACACGUGAGUAACCUGCCCCCGACUCUGGGAUAAGCCCGGGAAACUGGGUCUAAUACCGGAUAUUACCUUUGACCGCAUGGUUGUUGGUGGAAAGAUUUAUCGGUGGGGGAUGGACUCGCGGCCUAUCAGCUUGUUGGUGAGGUAAUGGCUCACCAAGGCGACGACGGGUAGCCGGCCUGAGAGGGUGACCGGCCACACUGGGACUGAGACACGGCCCAGACUCCUACGGGAGGCAGCAGUGGGGAAUAUUGCACAAUGGGCGAAAGCCUGAUGCAGCGACGCCGCGUGAGGGAUGACGGCCUUCGGGUUGUAAACCUCUUUCAGUAGGGAAGAAGCGAAAGUGACGGUACCUGCAGAAGAAGCGCCGGCUAACUACGUGCCAGCAGCCGCGGUAAUACGUAGGGCGCAAGCGUUAUCCGGAUUUAUUGGGCGUAAAGAGCUCGUAGGCGGUUUGUCGCGUCUGCCGUGAAAGUCCGAGGCUCAACCUCGGAUCUGCGGUGGGUACGGGCAGACUAGAGUGAUGUAGGGGAGACUGGAAUUCCUGGUGUAGCGGUGAAAUGCGCAGAUAUCAGGAGGAACACCGAUGGCGAAGGCAGGUCUCUGGGCAUUUACUGACGCUGAGGAGCGAAAGCAUGGGGAGCGAACAGGAUUAGAUACCCUGGUAGUCCAUGCCGUAAACGUUGGGCACUAGGUGUGGGGGACAUUCCACGUUUUCCGCGCCGUAGCUAACGCAUUAAGUGCUCCCGCCUGGGGAGUACGGCCGCAAGGCUAAAACUCAAAGGAAUUGACGGGGGCCCGCACAAGCGGCGGAGCAUGCGGAUUAAUUCGAUGCAACGCGAAGAACCUUACCAAGGCUUGACAUGUGCCAGACCGCCUCAGAGAUGGGGUUUCCCUUCGGGGCUGGUUCACAGGUGGUGCAUGGUUGUCGUCAGCUCGUGUCGUGAGAUGUUGGGUUAAGUCCCGCAACGAGCGCAACCCUCGUUCCAUGUUGCCAGCACGUAAAGGUGGGGACUCAUGGGAGACUGCCGGGGUCAACUCGGAGGAAGGUGGGGAUGACGUCAAAUCAUCAUGCCCCUUAUGUCUUGGGCUUCACGCAUGCUACAAUGGCCGGUACAAUGGGUUGCGAUACUGUGAGGUGGAGCUAAUCCCUAAAAGCCGGUCUCAGUUCGGAUUGGGGUCUGCAACUCGACCCCAUGAAGUCGGAGUCGCUAGUAAUCGCAGAUCAGCAACGCUGCGGUGAAUACGUUCCCGG